rnacentral:pre_miRNA from 14 species
UCUUGAGCCACCUGGAUGACAUCAGGGACAGAGGAUCUGGUAGCUCCAGGUGAAAGAUCCCCGAAGAGAGACCCUUACUCAAGUCCCGGGAAGUUGCGGACCCCAGGCACAGAGAGACCA